AAUAGAUACCCAGGUAGUCCACGCCGUAAACGGUGGGUACUAGGUGUGGGUUUCCUUCCUUGGGAUCCGUGCCGUAGCUAACGCAUUAAGUACCCCGCCUGGGGAGUACGGCCGCAAGGCUAAAACUCAAAGAAAUUGACGGGGGCCCGCACAAGCGGCGGAGCAUGUGGAUUAAUUCAAUGCAACGCGAAGAACCUUACCUGGGUUUGACAUGCACAGGACGCCUGUAGAGAUAUGGAUUCCCUUGUGGCCUGUGUGCAGGUGGUGCAUGGCUGUCGUCAGCUCGUGUCGUGAGAUGUUGGGUUAAGUCCCGCAACGAGCGCAACCCUUGUUUCAUGUUGCCAGCACGUGAUGGUGGGGACUCGUGAGAGACUGGCCGGGGUCAACUCGGAGGAAGGUGGGGAUGACGUCAAGUCAUCAUGCCCCUUAUGUCCAGGGCUUCACACAUGCUACAAUGGCCGGUACAAAGGGCGGCGAUGCCGUGAGGCUUAGCGAAUCCUUUAAAGCCGGUCUCAGUUCGGAUCGGGGU
rnacentral:rRNA from 1 species